UAAAAUAAAUAGAGGAUACAUCGUAUAAUCUCGAGAAUAUGGCUCGAGAGUCUCUACCAAGCUACCGUAAAUAGCUUGACUACGAUGUGUAAUGUGGGGAGA
rfam:Anoxybacillus sp. BCO1 LR68_contig000060, whole genome shotgun sequence.